GACAGUUUGGCCGAGUGGUCUAAGGCGCUGGCUUCAGGCGUCAGUCCGCAAGGGCGUGGGUUCGAAUCCCACAGCUGUUA
rfam:Perkinsus marinus ATCC 50983 gcontig_1104296605046, whole genome shotgun sequence.